GGGCCGUUCAUAUUUAGAACGUCAGCACCUUAAAAAUUAAAUAUUGGUUUAGGGAUGGAACCUGGAGACAGAUUUUAUGAUAAACUUGCUAAUGGGUACAGAAUGCAAAAGCCCCAUUAUGCUCCAAUAGAUAUCUAUAAAACGAUGUCAGACUGUUGGCUCGCUGAUCCUG